GAAAUACAAUAUAGUUAUACAUGAAAGAAAAACGUUUAUGCGCACAUAUUUACAAACUUCAGUAAACCGCAUAGUCACUAAUUCAGAAAAAUAAACC